rnacentral:rRNA from 1 species
UACGAAGGGGGCUAGCGUUGUUCGGAAUUACUGGGCGUAAAGCGUGCGCAGGCGGCUUCUCAAGUCAGGGGUGAAAGCCCAGAGCUCAACUCUGGAAUUGCCUUUGAGACUGAGUGGCUUGAGUACGAGAGAGGUGAGUGGAAUUCCCAGUGUAGAGGUGAAAUUCGUAGAUAUCAGGAGGAACACCGAUGGCGAAGGCGGAUCUCUGGGCCGAUACUGACGCUGGAGGAGCGAAAGCGUGGGGAGCGAACAGG